AGAUGUUGGGUUAAGUCCCGUAACGAGCGCAACCCUUGUCCUUAGUUACCAGCACGUUAUGUGGGCGACUCUAAGGAGACUGCCGGUGACAAACCGGAGGAAGGUGGGGAUGACGUCAAGUCAUCAUGGCCCUUACGGCCAGGGCUACACACGUGCUACAAUGGUCGGUACAAAGGGUUGCCAAGCCGCGAGGUGGAGCUAAUCCCAUAAACCGAUCGUAGUCCGGAUCGCAGUCUGCAACUCGACUGCGUGAAGUCGGAAUCGCUAGUAAUCGUGAAUCAGAAUGUCACGGUGAAUACGUUCCCGGGCCUU
rnacentral:rRNA from 1 species